rnacentral:rRNA from 1 species
GUGAGGAAUAUUGGUCAAUGGGCGAGAGCCUGAACCAGCCAAGUCGCGUGAAGGAUGAAGGUUUUAUGAAUUGUAAACUUCUUUUGCAGGGGAAUAAAGUACGGUACGUGUACCGUUUUGUAUGUACUCUGCGAAUAAGGAUCGGCUAACUCCAUGCCAGCAGCCGCGGUAAUACGGAGGAUCCAAGCGUUAUCCGGAUUUAUUGGGUUUAAAGGGUGCGCAGGCGGGUUGAUAAGUCAGCGGUGAAAGUUUGCAGCUUAACUGUAAAAUUGCCGUUGAAACUGUCGAUCUUGAGUGCAAAUGAGGUAAGCGGAAUGUGUUGUGUAGCGGUGAAAUGCUUAGAUAUCACGCAGAACUCCGAUUGCGAAGGCAGCUUACUAAGCUACAACUGACACUGAAGCACGAAAGCGUGGGGAUCAAACAGGAUUAGAUACCCCAGUAGUCC